GUCCCCAAACACCUUCCAGGUGAUGACUUUGGGUCCUGAGGAUUGCAGAGGGGGUUGGGUCUGUGGGGUCAGAGGUCGUUGACCUCACAGCAGAUGGACAGGGUGCUUGCUGUCAGCAGGGGCUGUGGCUGUCCUGACCUUGGGGACCUCAGUCCUCUGGUUAUAUGUUGCCUGGUCUAUCUUGGGUCCCACGGAUGCUAGUCUAUCACAAAGCCUUCUGCAGAUUCGCUGGGGAAACCUAGUCGAGGUAGCCUUCAGCCUCGGAAGCCUUCGCAGCUCCUAGUUGCCUGCAGAAGAGGGAGGGGCCCUCUGGGCCGAGAUCUGCCCCGCCCGCCUCUGCUGCCUCCCCUUCCCUGGUGAGAGAGUUCAUGGUAGUGCAGGGCCUUUGAACUGGCUGCAGCACCCCCCUUGAGGGCUUGUUCUACACAGCUGACUGCACCCCACCCCUGGAAUCCCCAAUCCAGCAGCUGAAAGGGGCCUGAGUAUUUGCAUUUCUCAGAGGUUCCCAGGUGCCGCCCAUGCAGCCAGUCCGGAAACCCACUUUGAGAACCACCUUCAUAGAGGUGACAUAUACUCAAAAACCAGGCAGCGUAGGCUCGAGACCCUGCUUCACCAUGUACCUGCUGUGAGCUCUCAGGCAAGGACUUUACCUCUCUGUGCCUCAGCUUCCUCAUCUGUACAAUGGAAUAUUAACAGCACCAGUCUCAUAGAUUAGUUGUGAGGAUUAAAUGAGCUAACACUCAUAACAUGCCUAGAACAGUGCCUGGGCACGGAGUAAGCACCAUAUGUGUGUUUGCUGUUAUUACAAUUACUGCUGUUAUUUUUAUUUUUUUAUUUUUUUUGCUUUUUAGGCCCACACCUGUGGCUUAUGGAGGUUCCCAGGCUAGGAGUCAAAUUGGAGCUACAGCUGCCAGCCUACACCACAGCCACAACAACACAGAAUCUGAUCGUGUCUGCGACCUAUACCACAGCUCAUGGCAACACCAGAUCCUUAACCCAUUGAGCGAGGCCAGGGAUCGAACCCGAAACCUCAUGGUUCCUAGUCAGAUUCGUUUCCUCUGUGCUACGACAGGAAGUCCACUGCUGUUAUUUUUAUUACCAUUAUUAUUUCCCUCCACCUGCACCCCCACCCCCACGCUGCUCUGCUUCUGGGGAAUCCUUUGCUGGUCUAAUUCCCAGCAGACAUUCACACGUCCAGAUCUCUCUGCUCAAGCUCUUCCCUCUACCGGGGUGCCUCCCCUCCCCUGCACCUGUUAAAAUGCUGCCCAUCCUUAUAGACUCAGCUCAGAUUGCUGCAUUGAGCCUCGCCGUGCUCCCACUCUGCCCCAGGCAGAAUCCACAGCCCUUUCCUUUGCCUUCCCUGAUCACAUGACUUAUUUAGUCCCCUAAUGCAGCUCUUCUGUCAUCCUGCCCAUCAUCCAUUUCCUUGGAUGCCUGCCUCCCAUGCUGCCCCAUAAGCUCCUUCAGAUCUGACUUCUCCAGGCUUUGAAGGCACAGAGAAGGUCCCCUGGGAAUUUUACCCCCAACGUACAGCCUUGGUGGAUUUCAAGGAGGCCAGCCUCAGUGGCAGCUUCUGGGCUGCAGGGUGGAGCCCCACUGCGGAUGCGGGAUUUCCCAAUUCAGUAAGAGUGUGAGCUCGGCAUCCAAAAGUCCCAGGGUCAUUUCUGAGUUUUACCAUUUAGCUCUGUGCGGCCUUUGGGUAAUUUUCUUAAUUACUUGUACCCUUCUUAUCUUCAUUUUGAAGUGAUAUUGUCAUCACAUCAAUAGAUUUUUGUGUGGAUUCAGUGGGGGCUCAUGCAGCAAAUAUUGAGCAUCUUCUGUUUGCCAGACUCCAUGCUAGACCCCAGGGAACCAGCAGUGAGCAAGCCAGACCAUCCCUGCCCUUGGGCAGCUGACGUUUUAGGGGAAAAGAUGGACACAAAGGGAGAUGUACGAGGGUUCUCCAGAGAAACAGAACCAAUGGGACAUACACGGAUGGAUGGAUGGAUGGAUGGAUGGAUUUGAAGCCAAAUUCUGUUAUUGCAGAAAUUUGGCUCACCCCGUUGUGGGAGCUGAGAAGCCAUGACCUGCCAUCUGCAAGCUGGGGAACCAGGAAAGCAGCUGAUGUAAUUCAUUCAGUCUGAGUCCGGAGGCCUGAGGACCAGGUGCACCUGUGUGGGAGGGUGGGUGAAAAUGGCUGUCCCGGCUCGAGCAGAGAAAAAAAAAAAAAAAAAAAAAAA
rnacentral:lncRNA from 1 species